GACGAACGCUGGCGGCGUGCUUAACACAUGCAAGUCUACGAGAAAGAGGUAGCAAUAUCUCGAGUAAAGUGGCGCAAGGGUGAGUAAUAUGUAAGUAAUCUGCCCAUGGGUUUGGAAUAACUCGUCGAAAGAUGGGCUAAUACCAAAUAAUGCAGCGGCACCGCAUGGUGAUGUUGUUAAAGCCUAUAUGGCGCCUAUGGAUGAGCUUGCAUCAGAUCAGCUAGUUGGUAGGGUAAUGGCCUACCAAGGCUACGAUCUGUAGCUGGUCUGAGAGGAUGAUCAGCCACACUGGAACUGAGACACGGUCCAGACUCCUACGGGAGGCAGCAGUGAGGAAUAUUGGGCAAUGCCCGCAAGGGUGACCCAGCAACGCCGCGUGGAGGAUGAAUGCCGUAAGGUUGUAAACUCCUUUUGAAGAGGACGAAUAGCACCGAUCGACUCGGUGUUUGACUGUACUCUUAGAAGAAGCCCCGGCUAACUACGUGCCAGCAGCCGCGGUAAUACGUAGGGGGCAAGCGUUGUCCGGAUUUACUGGGUGUAAAGGGCGCGUAGGUGGGUUUGUAAGUCAGAGGUGAAAUCCUGCAGCUUAACUGUAGAACUGCCUCUGAUACUGCAAAUCUUGAGUUCAGAAGAGAGAAGCGGAAUUCCAGGUGUAGUAGUGAAAUGCGUAGAUAUUUGGAGGAACACCAGUGGCGAAGGCGGCUUUUUGGUCUGUAACUGACACUGAGGCGCGAAAGCGUGGGGAGCAAACAGGGUUAGAUACCCUGGUAGUCCACGCCGUAAACGAUGAGUACUAGGUGUUGGGUUCGUUAGCCUUCGGUGCCGCAGUUAACGCAUUAAGUGUUCCGCCUGGGGAGUACGCUCGCAAGUUUGAAACUCAAAGGAAUUGACGGGGGCCCGCACAAGCAGUGGAGCAUGUGGUUUAAUUCGAUGCAACGCGAAGAACCUUACCAGGGCUUGACAUCCCUCUGACAGUCCCUUAACCGGGACCUUCUUCGGACAGAGGAGACAGGUGGUGCAUGGUUGUCGUCAGCUCGUGUCGUGAGAUGUUGGGUUAAGUCCCGCAACGAGCGCAACCCUUGUCUUUAGUUGCCAUCAUUCAGUUGGGCACUCUAGAGAGACUGCCGAGGACAACUCGGAGGAAGGUGGGGAUGACGUCAAAUCAUCAUGCCCCUUAUGUCCUGGGCUACACACGUGCUACAAUGGCUGGUACAAAGAGACGCAAGACCGCGAGGUGGAGCAAAUCUCAAAAACCAGUCCCAGUUCGGAUUGCAGGCUGCAACUCGCCUGCAUGAAGUCGGAGUUGCUAGUAAUCGCAGAUCAGAAUGCUGCGGUGAAUGCGUUCCCGGGUCUUGUACACACCGCCCGUCACACCAUGGAAGUUGGGGGCGCCCGAAGUUGGCCAGUAAAUAGGUUACCUAAGGCGAAAUCAAUGACUGGGGUGAA
rnacentral:rRNA from 1 species